GUCCACGCCCUAAACGAUGUCUACUAGUUGUCGGGUUUUAAUUAACUUGGUAACGCAGCUAACGCGUGAAGUAGACCGCCUGGGGAGUACGGUCGCAAGAUUAAAACUCAAAGGAAUUGACGGGGACCCGCACAAGCGGUGGAUGAUGUGGAUUAAUUCGAUGCAACGCGAAAAACCUUACCUACCCUUGACAUGGCAGAGAUCCCGAAGAGAUUUGGGAGUGCUCGAAAGAGAAUCUGCACACAGGUGCUGCAUGGCUGUCGU
rnacentral:rRNA from 1 species